GGUUGAGAUGCUUGAAUUAUCUGGACUAGUUGAUGACAUUGUGCACUGCACUGAACUUGAGCUUGUACCUGAAGCUGUUGAUGCUGCCCUCCAGACUAUUGCACAUGUUUCCGUAUCCUCUGGAUUGCAAGAUGCCUUAUUGAAGGCAGGUGUGCUUUGGUACCUCUUGCCAUUAUUGCUUCAGUAUGACUCAACAGCUGAAGAAUCUGACAAGAUGGAGUCGCAUGGUGUUGGUUCUAGUGUUCAAAUUGCCAAAAAUAUGCAUGCUGUUCGAGCAUCUCAGGCAUUGUCUAGACUUAGUGGUCUGUGCACUGAUGGGAGUUCAACACCUUAUAAUGCUGCUGCUGCUGAUGCGCUUCGAGCUUUGCUAACUCCUAAACUUGCAAGCAUGUUGAAACACCAAUUACCAAAAGACUUGCUAUCCAAAUUAAACACGAAUUUGGAGUCUCCAGAGAUUAUAUGGAACUCUUCAACACGAGCAGAACUAUUGAAAUUUGUUGAUAAGCAACGUGCUAGUGUGGGGCCUGAUGGUUCAUAUGACUUGAAUGAUUCACAAAUCUUUUCAUAUGAAGCACUAUCGAAAGAAAUUUUUGUUGGUGAUGUUUACUUGAGGGUCUAUAAUGAUCAGCCGGAUUUUGAGAUUAGUGAACCAGAAGCAUUUUGUGUUGCUCUAAUUGAUUUCAUAUCAUUUCUAGUUCGCAACCAAUAUCCUGUAGUUUCUGAUGCUCAAAGUAAACUUAGUUCCAGUAUCUCCUCACCUGAGACAUCAGAGAUCCAAAAUGAUACCACUGAUGUAUCUAUAAAUGGAUAUGCGCCUGAUGAUUCAUCAGCAGUCUCAGAUGGAAAAUCAUCAGACGAUGAAGAGUUGAAACUGGUCAAAAACCUUAAAUUGGGAUUGACUGCACUUAAGAACUUGCUGACGAGUAAUCCAAAUUUGGCAUCUGUAUUUUCUUCCAAAGAGAAGCUCCUACCUCUCUUUGAAUGCCUUUCUGUGCCCAUUGCAUCAGACAGCAACAUUCUUCAACUCUGCCUUGUUGUUCUUUCUCUCUUGACCACAUAUGCUCCUUGCUUGGAGGCUAUGGUUGCAGAUGGAUCUAGUCUCCUUUUACUUCAAAUGCUUCGCUCUGCUCCAAGUUGCCGUGAAGAGGCACUUCAUGUUCUUUAUGCUUUGGCAAGCACUCCAGAACUUGCUUGGGCAGCUGCCAAGCAUGGGGGAGUGGUGUACAUUCUGGAACUUCUUUUGCCUUUGCAAAAAGAUAUUCCGUUACAGCAGAGAGCGGCAGCAGCCUCAUUAUUGGGGAAGCUUGUUGGGCAGCCAAUGCAUGGACCCAGAGUUGCUAUUACAUUGGCAAGAUUUCUUCCAGAUGGCUUGGUAUCAGUUAUUAGGGAUGGCCCUGGUGAGGCUGUUGUAUCUGUGAUUGAACAGACAACAGAAACACCAGAGCUUGUUUGGACCCCUGCAAUGGCAGCAUCUUUGUCUGCUCAAAUUGCUACAAUGGCAUCAGACUUGUACCGUGAACAGAUGAAAGGCCGUGUUGUUGAUUGGGAUGUUCCAGAGCAGGCAUCUGGACAACAGGAAAUGCGAGAUGAGCCACAGGUUGGUGGAAUCUACGUUAGGCUGUUUCUUAAGGAUCCUAAGUUUCCUCUUAGAAAUCCAAAGAGAUUCUUGGAAGGGCUACUGGAUCAAUAUUUGUCCUCCAUUGCUGCCACACAUUAUGACACACAACCUAUGGAUCCUGAGCUUCCUUUACUUCUUUCUGCUGCUUUGGUUUCAUUAUUGCGAGUGCACCCUGCACUUGCAGAUCAUGUUGGGUAUCUUGGAUAUGUGCCCAAACUUGUAGCUGCUGUAGCAUAUGAGGCAAGGCGAGAAACGAUGUCAUCAGAGGAGGUGAAACACGGCAACUAUGCUGGAAAAACAUAUGAAUCUGAUGAUGGCUCUACUCCGCCUGCACAAACUCCACAGGAACGUGUGCGCCUUAGUUGUUUGCGUGUCCUACAUCAACUUGCUGCGAGUACGAUAUGUGCUGAGGCCAUGGCUGCAACUAGCGUAGGAACACCUCAGGUUGUUCCACUUCUAAUGAAAGCUAUAGGAUGGCAAGGUGGAAGCAUACUUGCUCUUGAGACACUAAAACGUGUUGUAGUUGCUGGAAAUCGUGCACGGGAUGCACUAGUUGCACAAGGACUUAAAGUUGGCCUUGUGGAAGUACUUCUUGGCAUUCUUGAUUGGAGAGCUGGUGGAAGGAAUGGACUAUGCUCUCAGAUGAAUUGGAAUGAAUCAGAAGCAUCUAUCGGCAGAGUACUUGCAAUUGAGGUUUUGCAUGCAUUUGCAACGGAAGGAGCACAUUGUAAUAAAGCGCGUGAGAUAUUAAACGCCUCUGAUGUCUGGAGCGCUUAUAAAGACCAGAAACAUGAUCUCUUCCUUCCUUCAAGUGCCCAAUCUGCUGCUGCAGGGGUUGCUGGUUUAAUCGAGAAUUCUUCGUCUAGGCUGACAUAUGCCCUGACAGCUCCACCGUCGCAACCUGGUCAAGCAAGACCGCCUGCACCUACAACAUUUAACUCGAAUGGCAAGCAGGAUCUGUUCUCAUAGGAGCGGAAGAAUUAAUUGACUCAGUAGUUUAGAAAGCGUUAUACCUAUCUCAUCCGUAUAGUCUACUGUACAGCUUUGUUACCUUUUUAAUUCACUUACAUGCACACCUGGGGCUUGAGUUUGACAACUGAGGCAGCAUUUGCAAUUUUUCCAGAAAAUUUAAGGGGAAUUAUUUUUCAUGUAUAGGGCUA
rnacentral:misc_RNA from 1 species